rnacentral:rRNA from 1 species
UACGUAGGGUGCGAGCGUUAAGCGGAAUUACUGGGCGUAAAGCGUGCGCAGGCGGUUCGGUAUGGCCGAUGUGAAAGCCCCGAGCUCAACUUGGGAAUGGCAUUGGAAACUGGCGGGCUGGAGUGUGGCAGAGGGGGGUGGAAUUCCACGUGUAGCAGUGAAAUGCGUAGAGAUGUGGAGGAACACCGAUGGCGAAGGCAGCCCCCUGGGCCAACACUGACGCUCAGGCACGAAAGCGUGGGGAGCAAACAGG